rnacentral:rRNA from 1 species
GACGAACGCUGGCGGCGUGCCUAAUACAUGCAAGUCGUGCGAACCACUUCGGUGGUGAGCGGCGGACGGGUGAGUAACACGUGGGCAAUCUGCCCGACAGACUGGGAUAACGCUUGGAAACGAGUGCUAAUACCGGAUACGCUCUUGAAUCGCAUGGUUCGAGAGGGAAAGCUGCCUUUGCAGCACUGUCGGAUGAGCCCGCGGCGCAUUAGCUAGUUGGUGAGGUAACGGCUCACCAAGGCGACGAUGCGUAGCCGACCUGAGAGGGUGACCGGCCACACUGGGACUGAGACACGGCCCAGACUCCUACGGGAGGCAGCAGUAGGGAAUCUUCCGCAAUGGGCGCAAGCCUGACGGAGCAACGCCGCGUGAGUGAUGAAGGCCUUCGGGUUGUAAAACUCUGUCUUCUGUGAAGAACAAGCCUAUGACGAGAAUGCUUAGGCCCUGACGGUAACAGAGGAGGAAGCCCCGGCUAACUACGUGCCAGCAGCCGCCGUAA